AAAUAUUCAGAUCACGCGCUCGAUCUCUACUCCAACACCACAGCCGCUCCCGAUUCACCCUACCUCAGCCCCGCCGCCACCGACGAGGACGACGACCUCCUCCACCCCACCCCGGCCUGUCUCCCAUCGGCGCCGGCAUCGGCGCCCCCACCCUCUCCCCUUCUCGAUCUUGAUCCGGUUAGGCGGCAUGCAGAUCAGCCACUGCCUACACCUCUAUCCAAACCAACCGCCGCAGACCACCCACCGUCGUCCUCGACCAGCACGAUCAGUCAACCCCCUGUCCCCACCCAAAUCGAACCUUCCCUGAGACGGCAAUGGCAGCGCCGGCGAGCCCUGGCGAGGACAUGGACGUGGAGGUCGCGGCCUUCCUGGCGUCCUGCGCAGCCUCCGAGUACGGCGCUGCCGAGGCCCUGCUCGACCGCCUCGACGCCCCCGCCUCCCGUGCAGCCGCACGGCGCCUCCUCGGAG
rnacentral:lncRNA from 1 species